rnacentral:lncRNA from 1 species
CUUGUCUUUGCCUAUAGCUGGCUGCAUUGGACAUGGAUUCCUGGCCCAAGAUGAAAAGGAAGGGAAAAGAGACUUCAUUUCCAUACCCACUAACCAUGCCAACAGAAGGCUUUGUGAAGAAGGAAGUAAAAGCUAUCGGUAGGAGUUAGAAAAAAACAUUUCUAGUUACAAGAACAGCAGAAAAAGACCUGAACUUCAGAGUGGACCACAAAUGAAUAUGAAUUAAUAACACAGAUCUCUUUUCAAAAGCCAACACAAAAUGAGGAUGUGUUUUUUGCAAAAGCAGUUGUUCUUGCCACUGGGCUUAUGCUUGUCAUUCUUUCAUGUGUCACAGCCAGACCUAGGAAAUUCCCUGGAAAGUCCCCUCCAUCACACACCUGCAGUUUUUCCAUUUGAGUGUAAUUCUGUUGGACCUUGAAAGACUUUUUGAUCUUUGGGACGCUCUUAUCACCAAAUGUAUCUUUCUGCAGGAAGAAGACAGAAGAAAGGGGUGGACUAUGAGAUGGGAGCCUGGGUCCCAAUUUCAGUUCAACCAUUACCAACCAGGUGGCUUUAGGCAAGUCUGGUCAUUUCCUUUGCCUCAGUGGCUUUCUAUAAAAUGGAAUUCUAUAGGGAUGAUGAAAGCGAAAACGUUAGCCACUAUGCUUGCUAGUGCUCAAGAAAUGAUUCCUUCCUGCCUGCCUGCCUCAGUUUUCCAUCUGUAAACAAGGAUUCAACUAGAACAUCUUUGAGGUUCCUUGAGCUCUAACACUCUGUGAUUCUGUUGGCAGCACCUUAAGAAAUUUACAACAAACACUCCAUUGAGUCUUAAUCUAUUAGAUCCCAUUCAGUUCUAAUAGUGUUGUGAUUUUGACUUUGUAGCCUCAUGUUUAUUUUCUCUCUUCCUGAUUUUUUAUUUAUAUAUUCUAUUUAAUAGUUUUUGCUUUUUCAAGUUGUCACCAGUUCUUUGUAGAAUAAGAAAAAAGUAUAACUAACUGGAGGAAAGAAUGCAUUCACAGAAAGCCAAGGAAUGAUAACACUAAU